UACCAGCACCCCGAGUGGUCGGGACGAUUAUUGGGCCUAAAGCAUCCGUAGCCGGUUCUACAAGUCUUCCGUUAAAUCCACCUGCUUAACAGAUGGGCUGCGGAGGAUACUAUGGAGCUAGGAGGCGGGAGAGGCAAGCGGUACUUAGUGGGUAGGGGUAAAAUCCGUUGAUUCAUUGAAGACCACCAGUGGCGAAGGCGGCUUGCCAGAACGCACUCGACGGUGAGG
rnacentral:rRNA from 1 species